GUUGGGAUAGCUCAGUUGGUAGAGCAGAGGACUGAAGUGUCACCAGUUUAAAUCUGGUUCCUGACA
rnacentral:tRNA from 1 species